rnacentral:rRNA from 1 species
UACGGGGGAGCAAGCGUUGUUCGGAUUUACUGGGCGUAAAGGGCGCGUAGGCGGCCAGCACAAGUCAGUUGUGAAAUCUCCGAGCUUAACUCGGAAAGGUCAACUGAUACUGUGCGGCUAGAGUGCGGAAGGGGCAACUGGAAUUCUUGGUGUAGCGGUGAAAUGACGUAGAUAUCAAGAGGAACACCUGCGGCGAAGGCGGGUUGCUGGGCCGACACUGACACUGAUGCGCGAAAGCUAGGGGAGCGAACGGG